GUAGUGUCAUGAAAUAAUACUUAAUAAAAUGAAAUAAAUGAAAUGAGAGAGUUUAGCAUUUGUCUCAGUGAGUUUCCACUUCUUUGUGGUUUCUCAGUAACAUGACGAGCUGAGAUUUAUUUUUCUCUUAUUAACUUGAGAGAAUAAAGAGACACUGCUGAGGGAAGUGACAUGAACUAACAUUCAUCAGACGUAAGUAUGGAACACUGUAGUGUAACUGUUCCUUCUUUCAGAAAUAAAACUGAAAUAGUUGGUGAAUGACUGUGGUGUGAGAGGAACAAUACACUUGGGGUCAUGAUGUUGGAGGAAAAUCAUCAUUGGGGGUAACAGUAACUCUGUCUCUGGGUUAUUUUCCUACAACAGCACAAGCCCAAAUGUUUAAGUCCUCACACAAGUGAUGAGUGUUCAGAUCAUCACACACCUCCAUCUGUGUGACCCAGUCAUCAUCAACUGUUCACAUUUAUACACGUUUAGUCUCUCUAUCACUCUCUCACACACAUACACUCUCUCUCUCACACACACACACACACUCACUCUCUCUAUCAUGCUCUCUCUCACAUACACACACUCUCUCACACACCUCACUCUCUCUCUCUAUCACUCUCUCUCUCACACACAUACACUCUCUCUCUGUCUCUCUUUCUGUCUCUCUCUCUCACACACAUACUCACUCUAUCACACUCUCUCUCACACUCUCUCUCUCUAUCACACACUCUCACAAACACUAUCUCUCUCACACACACUCUCUCUCUCACACACACACUCACUUUCUCUAUCAUGCUCUCUCACACACACUCACUGUCUAUCUCUCUCUGUCGCUCUCUCUCUCACACACACACUCUCUCUCUGUGUCUCUUUCUGUCGCUCUCUCACACACACUCUCUCUCUCUUUCUCUAUCACGCUCUCUCACACACUCUCUCUCUCUCUCUCUCUCUUACACACUCGCUCUUUCUGUGCGCAUGCGCGAGCGUGUGAGCGUGUAGUGAAGGUGUGAGUGAAAACUCUAUCUUAUUGUUUUUCUUUAUGCUGUAAAUUGUGUAAUUUAAGUGAGCAUAGAGUGGUGUGUAGCGUGUAGUGUGUGUGUGUGUGACGUUGUAGCGCAGCACGAGCCUUUACUUUCCUUACUUUUCGGCGUCAUGGCUUUAACACACCUGACCCGGAAGUACGGGUUUAAACUGUUACCGACUGUCACGUGCACCGUAGAUGAGGCGCCUCAGCAGUAGCUAAGCUAAUCGGCGGGAAGAGCAUUGUUUCUGCUGCCCACAUGAACAAGGCUGUGGUGAUGUUUGUGGAUGAGAUUCACAAAGUUGAGCUUGUGGUCACUAAAGGGGUUGUAAUUAAAGACACGGUGGUCAAUGUUUUCCCCUCAGUAGCACCUCGAAAAGAGUUGUUUUGUCUAAUGCCAAUUUAAAUGUAAAUGGGGAGGAAUUUGUUAUUUUCACAACUUCUGAAGUGUUUUGGGUCGUCAGGAGUGACAUGUGAUCAGGAAGUGUAAAGGAAAGGGCUUGUGGAAACGGAACAGGAAAAACAAAUCAUAAGCAGUCAGGAAACAGUGAUGGAGUCGGUCAGUGAACAAGACACUAACACAGAAACAGACAGUGAUGAGGACAAACACAAUAAUGAACAAGCAGGUACAUAUAAGGCUAAAGAGAUUUAAAGGUUCAAGGAGGCUUUCAAACGCAUCACUGAGGCUACAGGAGACACUAACACACAGGAGGUGGUAGACAGGUUUAUAUAUUAGUGUGACACUCACACACACAUGGAGAAGAUGAAGGAUCAGAAAGAGCAUGAGAUUCAGCAGCUGACGGACCAGGACCUGAAAUACUCUGGAGACACAAAACCCAUAGGAGGAGUUUGGUGGAGGAGCUUGUUUCUCUGUUACAGAAGGAAAAGCAGGAGCAAGACGCAGCUAAAGAGACUGUGGAGAGACUCACACACAAACUGAACACUUUGAACAAUGCUGUGGAACAUAUGUGUCACAAACUAGAUCACAUCACACCGCAGGAGGAACUACAGGGACAUGAUAUAGACUCAGUGAUCAAGGAGAUGAAGGAGCAGGAGGUGUGUAUGUGUAAGAAAUAGAGAGAAAGAAAGACAUUAUCUGAUUAUAAACAAGUGUGUGUGUGUGUGUGUGUGUGUGUGUAUGUGUGUGUGAGUGUGUGUGUGUGAGUGUGUGUGUGUUUGCAGCUUCAUGCCAAAGAUGAGGGGAAGCUUCCUGACUUCAGCACCAGCAUCACACAACCGGAAUAAAAGCUGGAAGUUAGCAUGGCUUUAUAUAUAAAAAUAUACCAAUGCUGUUUUCUGCGGGUGGUCAGUGAUGUCCAACGCACCAGAUCAUAAAGAAUACAAUGGUGAAUUAGGGACUUUGCAUUUGUAAUAAAGCGUAGAGACGCAUGAUACACCGGAUCAAGGCUCUGUACGAUGGAGGAGGCUGCGUGCUUAUGUGUGGCUCCGGAGAUGGAUUAGUAAUGACACCGGACACAGAAAAUAGAAUUUAAACUGGGAUCUUUUAUUUCAGACUGCAUGUUAAGCGGUGCAGCGUUAAUUAUGCAAACUUUGGGGAUGAUGGAGUUGGAAAUGUAGGACUAGUGAAUAAAAUUGUUGACAAUCAAAAA